rnacentral:rRNA from 1 species
AUACGGAGGGUGCAAGCGUUAUUCGGAAUCACAGGGCGUAAAGGACGCGUAGGCGGGUUGGCAAGUCGGAUGUGAAAUCCUACAGCUUAACUGUAGAACUGCAUUUGAAACUGCUAACCUAGAGUAUGGGAGGGGGAGAUGGAAUUAGUGGUGUAGGGGUAAAAUCCGUAGAUAUCACUAGGAAUACCGAAAGCGAAGGCGAUCUCCUGGAACAUAACUGACGCUAAGGCGUGAAAGCGUGGGGAGCAAACAGGAUUAGAAACCCUAGUAGUCC